AGCGAACGCUGGCGGCAGGCCUAACACAUGCAAGUCGAGCGGCCGUAGCAAUACGGCAGCGGCAGACGGGAUAGUAACACGUGGGAACGCGCCCUUCGGUUCGGAAUAACUCAGGGAAACUUGAGCUAAUACCGUAUAAUGACUCCGGUCCAAAGAUUUAUCGCCUAAGGAUGAGCCCGCGUCGGAUUAGCUAGUUGGUGAGGUAAAAGCUCACCAAGGCGACGAUCCGUAGCUGGUCUGAGAGGAUGAUCAGCCACACUGGGACUGAGACACGGCCCAGACUCCUACGGGAGGCAGCAGUGGGGAAUAUUGGACAAUGGGCGAAAGCCUGAUCCAGCAAUGCCGCGUGAGUGAUGAAGGCCUUAGGGUUGUAAAGCUCUUUUACCCGGGAUGAUAAUGACAGUACCGGGAGAAUAAG
rnacentral:rRNA from 1 species